GACGAACCGUCCAAACGUUGUUCGGAAUCACUGGGCUUAAAGGGCGCGUAGGCGGGUCUCCAAGUCGGUGGUGAAAUCUUUCGGCUCAACCGGAAAAUAGCCGCCGAUACUGGGGGUCUCGAGGGAGGUAGGGUCGAUGGAACUUCCGGUGGAGCGGUGAAAUGCGUAGAUAUCGGAAGGAACGCCGGUGGCGAAAGCGAU
rnacentral:rRNA from 1 species